AACAAGGCGUACCUGCGGACCUGCGGAAGGAUCAUUACCGAGUGUGAACCCCCCCGUAAAAAAGAGGGGUUACCUCCCGUCCUUUGCUGGGAACCCCUUUCCAACUUGGAAGGAGGUUGUUUUCAGACCCUUCUGCUUCGGUGGGGUAACCCACCGGAACAACCUCAAAAAUAUUCUCAAUUCAAAACCGUUCAGUCCGAGAACUUUUUUGAAAAGCGAAAAAACUUUCAACAACGGAUC
rnacentral:misc_RNA from 1 species